AAUGGACAACUUUUAAUUUCAAUAGCAAAUGUUUGUAGAUCAAUGGGGCGUUCCAUUUUCAUCAUUGUUGUUUUUGUCAUGCUUUUCUUCUUUGUUUCUCAUGGUGUAGGAACCAGCAGAAAAAUGGUGGGUUCUUUUUCACAUGGAGACACCCGUGGAGUUCUACACCAGGGUUCUUUUUCACAUGGAGACACCCGUGGAGUUCUACACUAGGUGUAGGAACCGGCAGAAAAAUGGUGGGUUCUUUAUCACAUGGAGACACCCGUGGAGUUUUACACCAGGUGAUUUUUUAUCAAAGAUGAUCCAGAAGAUCCAAGCAUGAAAGAUGCAUCUGUUUUUCUAUACAGUAUGUAAAUGUAUGUAAUUAGUAUUCCCACAUAUGAAAAUGUUAAACUAUGUAAGUAUCUCACUUCGACAUUCAGUAGUAUGACAUGCACAUGAAAAUAUAUUAUGAACAAAUUUGGCAGCUAUAA